AGAAACAACAAAUACUUACGAGGAGAGAUUGCCAUCUGUCUCUGGUAACCAGUACGAUCAAAUUGAAGUACCUGUAGGCGAAGCACCUGUAUACGAAGUACCCGUGGACGAGCAUAAGUACGAGACUAUUCCGGCGGACAGAGAAGGCCCUAGUAGAAGCUCUGCCUACGAAGUCUUCCAAGGAAGAAGUGAAGAAUAUGGGUAUGAACAGUUGCCCCAUCAAAGAGUUGCUGAAACAACUGACGCAGUUUAUAUCAAUUGAGAACACGCCAGGUCCUGUGUUGGGAAUGACCCGUCACGUGUAAACAAAUCAUCACAUCAGCUCACAGAUUUAAUAUUGAAUAAGUCGAUAUCAAUACAUUCCUAUACAAGAGACACAGAGAGAGACGUAACACCCAUACACGUGACAUUUGUUUUACUCUCAUGCAUCCAUACAAGGAGGAAAUCAAUGCUUUAUGUGAAUUAAUUUCAUAACAUGGACAACGGUCAGAAGUUGGCCUGGCUUGUGAUUGAUGAAGAUGUACAAGUAUUCGAAGAAAUCAGUAAAAUAGUUCUAGAAAGCAAUAUACAUGUAGAAUAUGAAAGGUUCAUCCUAAUUAAAAGUUGCUUAACUCCUUGCCAUGAUACACAAUGUUCUUUUAACUGUCGCUUUUAAAUGAACAUCUAUUUAUAACUGGAUUGCCUUGACUAAUUAGAGUACGAAGCUGCCUGUCUGAUUAACUGCACAGGCACCGUUCCUUGGUACCCUCUGUAUUCAAGACAACUUUUCUUAUUUUACUUGCAUCUUCGUAGUAUUGCACAUCUUCAAUAUUUUCAUGACCCAAUAUUCGAUCAAUAUGGAGUUUCAUAACAUAUACUGUAUAAUGUAUCACGAAUCUUAUUUUUAAAAUUGCACAUGUCUCUUGAGGCCCUUGAGUGUUGAAUAAACAUAGCAUAUAUCAUGGAACAUUUA